UGGCUCAGAGGGAAAAGAAUCUGCCUGCAAUGCAGAAGAUCCAGGUUCGAUUCCUGG
rfam:TPA: Bos taurus chromosome 6, whole genome shotgun sequence.